AUGAACGCUGGCGGCGUGCCUCACACAUGCAAGUCGGACGGAGAUUACGGACGGAAGUUUUCGGAUGGAAGACUGUAAUUCUUAGUGGCGGACGGGUGAGUAACGCGUGGGCAACCUGCCCUAUACAGGGGGAUAGCAGCUGGAAACGGCUGGUAAGACCGCAUAAGUCGGUUAAAUCGCAUGAUUUGAUCGGGAAAUGAGCAAUCAGGUAUAGGAUGGGCCCGCGUCCGAUUAGCCAGUUGGCAGGGUAAAAGCCUACCAAAGCGACGAUCGGUAGCCGGACUGAGAGGUCGGACGGCCACAUUGGGACUGAGACACGGCCCAAACUCCUACGGGAGGCAGCAGUGGGGGAUAUUGCACAAUGGAGGAAACUCUGAUGCAGCGACGCCGCGUGAGUGAAGAAGUAUUUCGGUAUGUAAAGCUCUAUCAGCAGGGAAGAUGAUGACGGUACCUGACUAAGAAGCCCCGGCUAACUACGUG
rnacentral:rRNA from 1 species